rnacentral:rRNA from 1 species
UACGGGGGGAGCAAGCGUUGUUCGGAUUUACUGGGCGUAAAGGGCGCGUAGGCGGCCUCCGCAAGUCGACUGUGAAAUCUCCGGGCUUAACCCGGAAAGGUCAGCCGAAACUGCGGGGCUAGAGUGCAGAAGGGGCAACUGGAAUUCUCGGUGUAGCGGUGAAAUGCGUAGAUAUCGAGAGGAACACCUGCGGCGAAGGCGGGUUGCUGGGCUGACACUGACGCUGAAGCGCGAAAGCGUGGGGAGCGAACAGG